rnacentral:rRNA from 1 species
CACCGCGGUUAUACGAGAGGCCCAAGUUGAUGAAAUGCGGCGUAAAGAGUGGUUAAGAAAAUUAAAGAAUAAGGCCGAACAACCUCAAAGCAGUUAUACGCAUCCGAGGCCACGAAGUACAAUUACGAAAGUAGCCCUAAUGAAAAUCUGACUCCACGAAAGCCAUAAAA